rnacentral:rRNA from 1 species
UUGAACGCUGGCGGCAGGCCUAACACAUGCAAGUCGCGCGGAUGAAGGGAGCUUGCUCCUGGAUUCAGCGGCGGACGGGUGAGUAAUGCCUAGGAAUCUGCCUGGUAGUGGGGGAUAACGUCCGGAAACGGGCGCUAAUACCGCAUACGUCCUGAGGGAGAAAGUGGGGGAUCUUCGGACCUCACGCUAUCAGAUGAGCCUAGGUCGGAUUAGCUAGUUGGUGGGGUAAAGGCCUACCAAGGCGACGAUCCGUAACUGGUCUGAGAGGAUGAUCAGUCACACUGGAACUGAGACACGGUCCAGACUCCUACGGGAGGCAGCAGUGGGGAAUAUUGGACAAUGGGCGAAAGCCUGAUCCAGCCAUGCCGCGUGUAUGAAGAAGGUCUUCGGAUUGUAAAGCACUUUAAGUUGGGAGGAAGGGCAGUAAGUUAAUACCUUGCUGUUUUGACGUUACCAACAGAAUAAGCACCGGCUAACUUCGUG